GACGAACGCUGGCGGCGUGCUUAACACAUGCAAGUCGAACGGACUUAAGGGGCUUGCUUCUUAAGUUAGUGGCGCACGGGUGAGUAAUAUAUAGCUAACCUGCCCUUUAGUGGGGGACAACAGUUGGAAACGGCUGCUAAUACCCCAUACUCCUUCUUAUCAUAAGGUAAGUUGGGAAAGAUUUAUCGCUAAAGGAUGGGGCUUUAUUGUAUCAGCUAGUUGGUGGGGUAACGGCCUACCAAGGCUAUGACGCAUACCUGGUCUGAGAGGAUGAUCAGGCACACUGGAACUGAGACACGGUCCAGACUCCUACGGGAGGCAGCAGUGGGGAAUAUUGCACAAUGGAGGAAACUCUGAUGCAGCAACGCCGCGUGGAGGAUGACGCAUUUCGGUGUGUAAACUCCUUUUAUAGGGGAAGAUAAUGACGGUACCCUAUGAAUAAGCACCGGCUAACUCCGUGCCAGCAGCCGCCGUAA
rnacentral:rRNA from 1 species